ensembl:lncRNA
CUCUGGGUGAGGAGGUGGAGGUCUGGCUCUGGGUGAGGAGGUGGAGGUCUGGCUCUGGGUGAGGAGGUGGAGGUCUGGCUCUGGGUGAGGAGGUGGAGGUCUGGCUCUGGGUGAGGAGGCAGACACCUUGGGACAAACUACAUGUUACUUUUUUAACCUUGUACAGUUCUAGAGUAUCUUCUACUGUAACAUGUGGGAAUGACGGCCAUUAUUUUAGCUUUUAUAUUAUCCAGUUGUUAGCUCUGCACCAAAGUCGUUUAACUUCAUUCCAUUGGGUAUGGUUUAACUUCUGUGCCAAUUAAUGACAGCAGAUAUUUAGAACGUACAAAAGCUGAAGUAACAAAGAACACUAAGCAGUAUCGAUAUUAAAUCAAAUAUACUCAGCCAUAUUCAGGUGCUGGGUUCCGUUGAAGAAAUGUCAAAUUAUCUUCGACCUUGAUGUCAAAAAUGGGCCCGCAAGUAGAACGCUGUUUUGUACGCAGUGAGAGUCCCGCAACGUCAUCGUGGUUAAGAGUACGGCGCAACCAUCGGAAAUGAUCAACAUAUUGUACGACGUACGUGUCAGUAUGUAUUUAAUAUCAAACUUUAGUUGUUUAAGAUAGGGGCAACAAUUCCCAAUGGAAACCGACUGAAAAAUAGUUUCCGUUGGCAACGGCUCGAGGUUUCGCAAAUACAAUCCAGAACGUUCCGCCAGAUUCCCUCAGGGGACUCCCGUCCAACUAAAUGCCAGGUGGUUUCUUAUGGUUGUCAAGACUACAAUGUUCUAUUCUAACCAUUGGGACUAAAUCAAGUGACUGCACACAGAACCUUCCACGGCGGGAAGCACAAACCGUCCGACUGGAAUCCGAACAUUCCGGCCGGAACCAACCAAAGAAAACAGAACCAGCGCCUCACCUUGAGCUGAACGGAGGAAGAUCCUGAAGUCCAGCGAUG